CAAUGUUGAGCUCACAAGUGGCCACGUCAUGUUAUCUAGUGGCAUCCACAACUCACAUUAGCAUCUUGUACUGCAGCAAUACUAAAUUACUCUGUCAAUUCACAUUUAUUAAUUUUCUAGAAGACCCAAGCUUAAAUAAAAUAUAGUAUGAAGGUAAGGAGGAUAAUGCUACUUGAUUAAACUUGAAAUAAUUUGCCCAAGCUUCCAUGUAUUACUUUUUACUUUCACCUUAAUUAGAAUAGAAGCAACAAUUAGAAGAAAAAGAAAAAGAAAACAGAAAACACAGACAACAG
rnacentral:misc_RNA from 1 species